GACGAGGGAUCCUAGCGUUGUUCGGAAUCAUUGGGCGUAAAGAGUAUGUAGGCGGCCUUGUAAGUCAGUUGUGAAAGCCCCGGGCUCAACCCGGGAAGUGCAAUUGAUACUGCUUGGCUUGAAUGUGGAAGAGGGUAGUAGAAUUCCAGGUGUAGUGGUGAAAUGCGCAGAUAUCAGGAAGAACACCCGUGGCGAAGGCGGCUCUCUGGGACGGUACUGACGCUGAGACGCGAAAGCGUGGGGAGCGAACAGG
rnacentral:rRNA from 1 species